rnacentral:rRNA from 1 species
GAACGCUGGCGGCAUGCCUAAUACAUGCAAGUCGAACGAUCCUUUCGGGGAUAGUGGCGCACGGGUGCGUAACGCGUGGGGAUCUGCCCUUGGGUUCGGAAUAACUUCGGGAAACUGAAGCUAAUACCGGAUGAUGACGAAAGUCCAGAGAUUUAUCGCCCAGGGAUGAGCCCGCGUAGGAUUAGCUAGUUGGUGAGGUAAAGGCUCACCAAGGCGACGAUCAGUAGCUGGUCUGAGAGGACGACCAGCCACACUGGAACUGAGACACGGUCCAGACUCCUACGGGAGGCAGCAGUGGGGAAUUUUGGACAAUGGGGGCAACCCUGAUCCAGCAAUGCCGCGUGAGUGAAGAAGGCCUUCGGGUUGUAAAGCUCUUUUGUCAGGGAAGAAACGGUGAGGGCUAAUAUCCUUUGCUAAUGACGGUACCUGAAGAAUAAGCACCGGCUAACUACGUGCCAGCAGCCGCGGUAAUACGUAGGGUGCAAGCGUUAAUCGGAAUUACUGGGCGUAAAGCGUGCGCAGGCGGUUGUGUAAGACAGGUGUGAAAUCCCCGGGCUUAACCUGGGAAUGGCAUUUGUGACUGCACGGCUAGAGUGUGUCAGAGGGGGGUAGAAUUCCACGUGUAGCAGUGAAAUGCGUAGAGAUGUGGAGGAAUACCGAUGGCGAAGGCAGCCCCCUGGGAUAACACUGACGCUCAUGCACGAAAGCGUGGGGAGCAAACAGGAUUAGAUACCCUGGUAGUCCACGCCCUAAACGAUGUCUACUAGUUGUCGGGUCUUAAUUGACUUGGUAACGCAGCUAACGCGUGAAGUAGACCGCCUGGGGAGUACGGUCGCAAGAUUAAAACUCAAAGGAAUUGACGGGGACCCGCACAAGCGGUGGAUGAUGUGGUUUAAUUCGAUGCAACGCGAAAAACCUUACCUACCCUUGACAUGUCUGGAAUCCUGAAGAGAUUUGGGAGUGCUCGAAAGAGAGCCAGAACACAGGUGCUGCAUGGCCGUCGUCAGCUCGUGUCGUGAGAUGUUGGGUUAAGUCCCGCAACGAGCGCAACCCUUGUCAUUAGUUGCUACGAAAGGGCACUCUAAUGAGACUGCCGGUGACAAACCGGAGGAAGGUGGGGAUGACGUCAGGUCAUCAUGGCCCUUAUGGGUAGGGCUACACACGUCGUACAAUGGCCGGGACAGAGGGCUGCCAACCCGCGAGGGGGAGCUAAUCCCAGAAACCCGGUCGUAGUCCGGAUCGUAGUCUGCAACUCGACUGCGUGAAGUCGGAAUCGCUAGUAAUCGCGGAUCAGCUUGCCGCGGUGAAUACGUUCCCGGGUCUUGUACACACCGCCCGUCACACCAUGGGAGCGGGUUCUGCCAGAAGUAGUUAGCCUAACCGCAAGGGGGGCGAUUACCACGGCAGGGUUCGUGACUGGGGUG